UCUGGCAGCUAGCUCUGCAACUGUCACAUGGUCGCCUCCACUGAAGCUAAGCAGGGCUGCGCCCGGUCAGUACCUGGAUGGGAGACCACAUGGGAAAGCUAGGUUGCUGCCGGAA
ensembl:rRNA 5S_rRNA 5S ribosomal RNA